GGAGUUUAAGUCUGGCACAAUCUGCUCUUAGUGAAUCCAUCCUGCUUCUGAGGAACCAGUGCUUUCUCUUAUAAUCCCUAUAAUUUCUUGAAGAUUGUGGAUUACGGUUUUAUUGUCAUAUCUACAAGUUAUUUCAACACCCUGGUAUGCAGUUCAUCUAGGCCUAGAGACAACUCAUUCAAACAGUCUAAAGCUGACGCAUCUUGAUGGAGAAGACAUACAAAAUAAGAGUUUAAUUGCCUUAACCACUACUCCCCUUUAGACUCUGAUGGAGAUUGAACCGAAACCCAAAGGUCUUUGGAAUCAAAAUGUCCCCCCGACUAGCGGUCCUCUUCUCCGCCCAGGCUCCAAAGCCACAAUCAAGAACAUCACAGUAGAGGAGAAACUUAGCUUCCUUGCCACCAUGAUCAUCCACUGCCUACCAACUGCCAGCACACAACCAUCUUCCCCCCCAACCAAGUCAUUGUUCUAGAAAACAAUACUUGUGGAGAUGGACCCUGGCAACUGUUUCUACAAUUGUUGCAGCCCUGUUUCCUCAGCAGCCACAGCUACUGAAAACAAGGAAAAGAAAGCUCUAGACACUAAAGUCCUUGGCACUGUCAAAUGAUGCGAGAUCAGAAAUGGACAGGAUUUUAU